rnacentral:rRNA from 1 species
GAUGAACGCUGGCGGCGUGCCUAAUACAUGCAAGUCGAACGCUGGAGAUCUAGCUUGCUAGAUCGAAGGAGUGGCGAACGGGUGAGUAAUACAUAAGCAACCUACCCACGAAGACUGGGAUAAUCUCUGGAAACGGGGACUAAUACCGGAUAGGUAAUCGGAAGGCAUCUUCUGGUUAUUAAAGGUGAAAAACACUGGUGGAUGGGCUUAUGGCGCAUUAGUUAGUUGGUGAGGUAACGGCCCACCAAGACGAUGAUGCGUAGCCGGCCUGAGGGGGUGAACGGCCACAUUGGGACUGAGACACGGACCAGACUCCUACGGGAGGGAGCAGUAGGGAAGUUUAGGCAAUGGGGGCAACCCUGACCGAGCAACGCCGCGUGAGUGAAGACGGCCUUCGGGUUGUAAAGCUCUGUUGUAAGGGAAGAACGGUAGAUAGAGAAUAUCUAAGUGACGGUACCUUACCAGAAAGCCACGGCUAACUACGUG